rnacentral:rRNA from 1 species
UACGUAGGGUGCAGGCGUUAAUCGGAAUUACUGGGCGUAAAGCGUGCGCAGGCGGCUCCUUAAGUCAGACGUGAAAUCCCUCGGCUUAACCGGGGAACUGCGUCUGAUACUGGAUGGCUUGAGUUUGGGAGAGGGAUGGCGGAAUUCCAGGUGUAGCGGAUGAAAUGCGUAGAUAUCUGGAGGAACACCGGGUGGCGAAGGC